AUUCUCAUGUAGCUUACUAAUAAAUUUACACCAUAGCUAUAAUAGAAUAUAGAUAAGAUCUUUGUAUUGUUGAUGCAUAAAGAUAGGUAGUUAGAGCCAUAUUUGAGAAUAUUUUAGAAGUUUUUAAAAUUUGGACUAGGUUGAUGGUUUAUGUCGGAUUUACCAUGAAAUAUUCUAUAAAGGACUUAAGGUAGUUAUCAAGGUAGAAUCUAUCAUUAAACAUAUUCUAGAAAGUUCUAAGAUAGUUAGAUAAAAUAUAAAUAGAAUUGGCUAAGGCCAUUUGGGUUUUGAUUAGAUAUGGCUUUGGUUCCUUUCUCUUAAUAAAGUUUGAUUUUGCACUUUUUUAUUCAAUUCUAUUCUAUUUUUUUUUGCUUUGUUUUAUCUUUUAUAUUCUAUUAUAUUUAGUUUUGUUGAGUUUUGUUCUAGUUUAUGCUUUUUUAUGUUGUGACAAGAUUUAU
rnacentral:lncRNA from 1 species